CAAAGUGAUUCAGGAACUGUUUCAUCAAUCAAGACCAUAAAACAUAGGAGCAGAAAUAGACCAUUCAACCCAAGUGGAUGAUUCAACUCAGCCUGUUGUUGAGGUGCUGAGAAUCACAGAUAUCAGUCAGAGAAACAAGAUCCCAGGUAGAUUGAACAGAUGAUACUGAUUUCAAAAUUAGGAUCUGCUUCCUCAAGAGCCUACAAAUCUUCUGUAGCAGCAAUUGCUAAGGGCAUUGAUGCUGCCAGAUCUGUUCAGUUUUUCCAGCUCUUCCUGUAUUUCUGUUGAACUGGAUGUCGAUUUACCAAGUGAAUUUAAUACAGAG